rfam:Myotis davidii contig10216, whole genome shotgun sequence.
AAUAAAGAUCAUCUUGUCUGAACGUACCCUAUCUUGUCUUAUCUCAGAAGCUAAGCAGGGUCGGGCCUAGUUAGUACUUGGAUGGGAAAUCACCUGGGAAUACCAGCUGCUUUAGUCU